rnacentral:piRNA from 1 species
GUAGGAAGGCUCAAAAGCUUUUUAAACAGGA